rnacentral:misc_RNA from 1 species
GAAAUGCGAUAAGUAAUGUGAAUUGCAGAAUUCAGUGAAUCAUCGAAUCUUUGAACGCACAUUGCGCCCGCCAGUAUUCUGGCGGGCAUGCCUGUUCGAGCGUCAUUUCAACCCUCGAGCCCCCGUGGCUUGGUGUUGGGGACCGGCGACCCCGCCCGCACCUCGGUGCAGGCGCCCGCCGCCCCCGAAAUGAAUUGGCGGCCUCGUCGCGGCCUCCUCUGCGUAGUACCACAGCCUCGCAACAGGAGCGCGACGCGGCCACUGCCGUAAAACGCCCCAGCUUUGUUUUCAGAGUUGACCUCGGAUCAGGUAGGAAUACCCGCUGAACUUAA